GGUUGUAGCUCAGCGGUAGAGCGCUUGCUUGGCAUGUGCGAGGCCCUGGGUUCAAUCCUCAGCACCA
rnacentral:tRNA from 1 species